CCUACGGGUGGCAGCAGUGGGGAAUAUUGGACAAUGGGCGAAAGCCUGAUCCAGCCAUGCCGCGUGUGUGAAGAAGGCCUUCGGGUUGUAAAGCACUUUCAGUGGGGAAGAAAGCCUUAGGGCUAAUACCCUCGAGGAAGGACAUCACCCACAGAAGAAGCACCGGCUAACUCCGUGCCAGCAGCCGCGGUAAUACGGAGGGUGCGAGCGUUAAUCGGAAUUACUGGGCGUAAAGCGCGCGUAGGCGGUCUGAUAAGCCGGUUGUGAAAGCCCCGGGCUCAACCUGGGAACGGCAUCCGGAACUGGCAGGCUAGAGUGCAGGAGAGGAAGGUAGAAUUCCCGGUGUAGCGGUGAAAUGCGUAGAGAUCGGGAGGAAUACCAGUGGCGAAGGCGGCCUUCUGGACUGACACUGACGCUGAGGUGCGAAAGCGUGGGUAGCAAACAGGAUUAGAUACCCGAGUAGUC
rnacentral:rRNA from 1 species